GCUGUGAUGGCGGAGUGGUUAAGGUGUUGGGCUUGAAAUCCAACAGGGGUUCUGCAUGCAGGUUCAAACCCUGCUCACAGUA